rnacentral:rRNA from 1 species
ACGGCUCAGUAACACGUGGAUAACCUGCCCUUGGGUCCGGCAUAACCCCGGGAAACUGGGGAUAAUUCCGGAUAACGCACAUAUGCUGAAAUGCUUUAUGCGUAAAAUGGAUUCGUCUGCCCAAGGAUGGGUCUGCGGCCUAUCAGGUAGUAGUGGGUGUAAUGUACCUACUAGCCAACAACGGGUACGGGUUGUGAGAGCAAGAGCCCGGAGAUGGAUUCUGAGACAUGAAUCCAGGCCCUACGGGGCGCAGCAGGCGCGAAAACUUUACAAUGCGGGAAACCGCGAUAAGGGGACACCGAGUGCCAGCAUCAUAUGCUGGCUGUCCAGGUGUGUAAAAUACACCUGUUAGCAAGGGCCGGGCAAGACCGGUGCCAGCCGCCGCGGUAACACCGGCGGCCCGAGUGGUGAUCGUGAUUAUUGGGUCUAAAGGGUCCGUAGCCGGUUUGGUCAGUCCUCCGGGAAAUCUGACGGCUCAACCGUUAGGCUUUCGGGGGAUACUGCCAGGCUUGGAACCGGGAGAGGUAAGAGGUACUACAGGGGUAGGAGUGAAAUCUUGUAAUCCCUGUGAGACCACCUGUGGCGAAGGCGUCUUACCAGAACGGGUUCGACGGUGAGGGACGAAAGCUGGGGGCACGAACCGGAUUAGAUACCCGGGUAGUCCCAGCCGUAAACGAUGCUCGCUAGGUGUCAGGCAUGGCGCGACCGUGUCUGGUGCCGCAGGGAAGCCGUGAAGCGAGCCACCUGGGAAGUACGGCCGCAAGGCUGAAACUUAAAGGAAUUGGCGGGGGAGCAC